AAUAGAUACCCGGGUAGUCCACCCGUAAACGUUGGGAACUAGUUGUGGGUCCAUUCCACGGAUUCCGUGACGCAGCUAACGCAUUAAGUUCCCCGCCUGGGAGUACGGCCGCAAGGCUAAAACUCAAAGGAAUUGACGGGGACCCGCACAAGCGGCGGAGCAUGCGGAUUAAUUCGAUGCAACGCGAAGAACCUUACCAAGGCUUGACAUAUACGAGAACGGGCCAGAAAUGGUCAACUCUUUGGACACUCGUAAACAGGUGGUGCAUGGUUGUCGUCAGCUCGUGUCGUGAGAUGUUGGGUUAAGUCCCGCAACGAGCGCAACCCUCGUUCUAUGUUGCCAGCACGUAAUGGUGGGAACUCAUGGGAUACUGCCGGGGUCAACUCGGAGGAAGGUGGGGAUGACGUCAAAGUCAUCAUGCCCCUUAUGUCUUGGGCUUCACGCAUGCUACAAUGGCCGGUACAAAGGGCUGCAAUACCGCGAGGUGGAGCGAAUCCCAAAAGCCGGUCCAGUUCGGAUUGAGGUCUGCAACUCGACCUCA
rnacentral:rRNA from 1 species